GACGAACGCUGGCGGCGUGCUUAACACAUGCAAGUCGAACGGUAAGGCCCUUCGGGGUACACGAGUGGCGAACGGGUGAGUAACACGUGGGUGAUCUGCCCUGCACUUCGGGAUAAGCCUGGGAAACUGGGUCUAAUACCGGAUAGGACCACUGCCUGCAUGGGUGGUGGUGGAAAGCCUUUGCGGUGUGGGAUGGGCCCGCGGCCUAUCAGCUUGUUGGUGGGGUGAUGGCCUACCAAGGCGACGACGGGUAGCCGGCCUGAGAGGGUGACCGGCCACACUGGGACUGAGAUACGGCCCAGACUCCUACGGGAGGCAGCAGUGGGGAAUAUUGCACAAUGGGCGCAAGCCUGAUGCAGCGACGCCGCAUGAGGGAUGACGGCCUUCGGGUUGUAAACCUCUUUCAGCACCGACGAAGCGCAAGUGACGGUAGGUGCAGAAGAAGGACCGGCCAACUACGUGCCAGCAGCCGCCGUAA
rnacentral:rRNA from 1 species